CCUACGGGUGGCAGCAGUGAGGAAUAUUGGUCAAUGGGCGGGAGCCUGAACCAGCCAAGUCGCGUGAGGGACGACGGUCCUCUGGAUUGUAAACCUCUUUUGUCGGGGAACAAAGGCGCCCACGGGUGGGCGGAUGAGUGUCCCCGAAGAAAAAGCAUCGGCUAACUCCGUGCCAGCAGCCGCGGUAAUCCGGAGGAUGCGAGGGUUAUCAGGAUUUAUUGGGGUUAAGGGGUGCGUAGGGGGCAAGUAAAGUCAGCGGUAAAAAUGCGGUGCCCAACGCCGUACCGCCGUUGAAACUGGGAGGCGUGAGUGGACGAGAAGUAUGCGGAAUGCGUGGUGUAGCGGUGAAAUGCGUAGAUAUUAGGAGGAACACCAGUGGCGAAGGCGGCUUACUGGACUGUAACUGACGUUGAGGCUCGAAAGCGUGGGGAGCAAACAGGAUUAGAUACCCGGGUAGUC
rnacentral:rRNA from 1 species